GCUUUGGUGGUUCAGUGGUAGAAUUCUUGCCUUCCAUGCAGGAAGACCCUGGUUUGAUUACCAGCCAAUGUA
rnacentral:tRNA from 1 species